rnacentral:hammerhead_ribozyme from 1 species
AUCCAGCUGAUUCGUCCCAAAUAGGACGAAAAGCGCUUUGUCCUGGAU